rnacentral:rRNA from 1 species
GACGAACGCUGGCGGCGUGCUUAACACAUGCAAGCCGAACGAAGAGCGAUGGAAGCUUGCUUCUAUCAAUCUUAGUGGCGAACGGGUGAGUAACGCGUAAUCAACCUGCCCUUCAGAGGGGGACAACAGUUGGAAACGACUGCUAAUACCGCAUACGAUCCAAUCUCGGCAUCGGGACUGGAUGAAAGGUGGCCUCUAUUUAUAAGCUAUCACUGAAGGAGGGGAUUGCGUCUGAUUAGCUAGUUGGAGGGGUAACGGCCCACCAAGGCGAUGAUCAGUAGCCGGUCUGAGAGGAUGAACGGCCACAUUGGGACUGAGACACGGCCCAGACUCCUACGGGAGGCAGCAGUGGGGAAUCUUCCGCAAUGGACGAAAGUCUGACGGAGCAACGCCGCGUGAGUGAUGACGGCCUUCGGGUUGUAAAGCUCUGUUAAUCGGGACGAAUGGUUCUUGUGCGAAUAGUGCGAGGAUUUGACGGUACCGGAAUAGAAAGCCACGGCUAACUACGUG